GUCAACAUCAGACCUGCCGGGUCCAAAGAUGCCAUUGUUGACCUGUCCGAUGAUGGACCGGGUCAUCGUCGGCGGGUCUUGGUUCUCUCACUGCCAGACGUCGUGAUCGAGAGCUCCCCAAGCUAUCGUACCAGAGUACAGGGAGACGCUGCCGAACCUGGAGCUAUGGCGCACAGCCGGCAGGGUUCCAGCUGCUCCCGGGACACACUGGGCCCGCUGGAGGGCGAGGCCUCACCCGUGAUGCUAAGGGGCCCGGGCCGCUCUACGGGCCGGCCACGGGCGCUGUCGUGUGACGUCACUCUGGAGGAGACCGUGGGCCGGGCCCUGCGCCACAUGGCGGACCAUAUGGAACGUGACAAACAA